rnacentral:rRNA from 1 species
AGGACGAACGCUGGCGGCGUGCUUAACACAUGCAAGUCGAGCGGAAAGGCCCUUCGGGGUACUCGAGCGGCGAACGGGUGAGUAACACGUGAGCAACCUGCCCUUAGCUUCGGGAUAGCUCCGGGAAACCGGAAUUAAUACCGAAUAUGACUUUGGCUGACAUCAGCAGAAGUGGAAAGUUUUUCGGCUAGGGAUGGACUCGCGGCCUAUCAGCUAGUUGGUGAGGUAACGGCCCACCAAGGCGACGACGGGUAGCCGGCCUGAGAGGGCGACCGGCCACACUGGGACUGAGACACGGCCCAGACUCCUACGGGAGGCAGCAGUGGGGAAUAUUGCGCAAUGGGCGAAAGCCUGACGCAGCGACGCCGCGUGGGGGAUGAAUGCCUUCGGGUUGUAAACCCCUUUCAGCAGGGACGAAGCGAAGUGACGGUACCUGCAGAAGAGCGCCGGCUAACUACGCGCCAGCAGCCGC